rnacentral:lncRNA from 1 species
AAAAUUCCUCUUGGUAUUUUGGGUCCCUCCAUGCUUUACACUUUAAAGCCCCUCCCAAAACCAACACACAUAAAUACCCUUGUUAUAUCUACAGGAAUGGAUCAUAAGAACACAAGGUUCACAAACUGGUUUUAACACUCAAACAAAAACAAGAUAUCUAGUUUUCUACUACUUUCCUCUUCUUCUUGUUUGUUUCUAUAUAAGUUUUUAAACCAUACCAUGGUUUUCAGUUCUCAUGGUGUGUUUGUUCUUCUUUUCUGUAUUGGGUUGUUCUUAGUAGUUCAACCAGAUGAAGUCUCUGCCCUCACAAGUAUAGGCCUAGCCCUCAGAGAGAACCAAAAUCAAUAUCAUGGAAUUUUUCCGCGGCAUCAACGUACUCUCAAGGCUGCCACCAUGGAGGAAAUGAGCACAGAGAAGAAGAAUUCAACAAACACAAACAGCAACUUUGAUCCAAAUCAAUCGAGCAAAAGAAGAGUGCGAAGAGGAUCGGAUCCUAUCCACAAUAGGUCUUAAAGGAUGAAGCUGGCAUUUUAAACACAAAGUUGAUUCAAGCAAUGCAGAACAACCACGAGGCGGUGAAUUACUUCAUUUGGUUGGUUGGUCUUUUUUCCUAUCUUGCAGUAGAGUUUUUAUAUAAUAGAGAGACAUGUGUAUAGCCAAGUAACAGAGCAAGUCAUUGAAGGCUUUCAGUGACAGUGGAGCCAACCUCGUCUCUGUCUUUGGAGCCAAGAUCAUAAACCAAUGAGAGAACAGUACAGACGACGGUGGUUCCUCCGAAAUGAAAGAAACAAAUAUAGUUGUUUUUUAAUUUUUUUGUCUUUUGAAGAGCAGUGUUCUGUUUCUGUUUGCAUCAUCAGUGUUAAAGAGUUUUGUUGCAGAUGAUAGUGAAAUUCUUUUGUAACCCUGCAGCUCUUACAAUGUCUUUCAAAUGUAAUGAGCUUUUAUUUUAUACCUUGAUUAGUAUUUUCACUUUUUUCUUGGCUGGUGG